UUUAAGAGCAUAUGGCGGAUGCCUAGACUCAAAACGGCGAUGAAGGACGCAGUAUGGCGGCGAUACGCUCCGGGGAGGUGCCAAGCAACCUUUGAUCCGGAGAUCUCCGAAUGGGGAAACCCUGCCGUGCAAACCACGGAGCAUGGCAGCAUACCCGGGGAAGUGAAACAUCUCAGUACCCGGAGGAAAAGAAAUCAAUAGACAUUCCCCAAGUAGCGGCGAGCGAAAAGGGAGGAGCCCAAACCUUGGUGUGCAGGCUAAUUGAAUCCGCUGGAACGCGGAGCCAGAGAAGGUAAUAGCCCUGUAGGUGAAAGUGCGCACACACUCUGCAUUAUUCUUGAGUACCCCGGGACAUGAUUAGCCUGGGGGAAUCCGGCAGUACUAACUGCCAAGGCUAAAUACGUUUUGAGAUCGAUAGUGAACAAGUACCGUGAGGGAAAGGUGAAAAGCAGCCCGGUAAGGGCGUUGAAAUAGUUCCUGAAACCAUAUGCUUACAAGGAGUCAGAGUCCCGCCCUCUAUCCCCGUGAAUAUAUCACUGUGGUCAUUACGAGCGUUGUAACUUGUAUUGAUUACGGUUGUCUAUUCGUUGGGAAAGAGGGCGGGAUGAUGGCGUGCCUAUUGAAGAAUGAGCCAACGAGUUUAUGAGUGCUGCAAGCUAAGGCCUUACGGGCCGGAGCUACAGGGAAACCGAGUGUGAACAGCGCGCUAUCUUGUUGGGGACAAUAAGACCCGAAGCCAGGUGAGCUUACCAUGAGCAGGGUGAACCCCGUCGAAAGGCGGGGGGAGGCCCGAACCGUUUAGCGGUGCAACACUAUCGGAUGACUUGUGGUAAGGAGUGAAAAGCUAAUCGAACCUGGUAAUAGCUGGUUCUCUCCGAAAUAGCUUUCGGGCUAGCGUUUGGUGUACCUCUUGGGGGUAGAGCACUGGAAGGAUUGAAUAGGGAGCAAUCUCGUCAAUCCUAUCAAACUCCGAAUACCAAGAGCCACUGCCAAGCAGUUAGACUACGGGCGCUAAGGUCCGUUGGUCGAAAGGGGAACAGCCCAGACCUCCAUCUAAGGUCCCUAAAUUUACGCUCAGUGCACUCAAGGAGGUGAGAUUUCUCUGAUAAUGAGGAGGUUGGCUUAGAAGCAGCCACCCUUUAAAGAAAGCGUAACAGCUCACUCAUUAAGAGAUUUUGCGCCGAAGAUAAUCGGGGCUAAGCGUAGUACCGAAGGUGAGGAUGUCAGCCAGUGCUUUGCAGUGGCAUGGUAGGAGAGUAUUCUUACUUGCAAUGAAGCUGCCGCGGUGACGCGCUGUGGAGCAGUGAGAAGGAAGAAUGUUGGCACAAGUAACCGCAAUCCACGUGAGAUCCGUGGACGCCGAAAGACUAAGGUUUCCUUGGCGAUGGUGAUCAGCUAAGGGUUAGUCGGUCCUAAGGGGAUGGCGAGAGCCGCACCCGAUGGGCACACGGUUAAUAUUCCGUGACCUCGCAGCAGUUCGAUGGAGUGACGGAGGACAUAACGGGUAGCGCAUUAUUGGAUUUGCGUCCCUGCCGGUAGGCGCGUGCUCUAGGAAAAUCCGGAGCGCUGAUUCAAUUCAAGCACCGAUGGAGGGGAAAUGCUCCGCUUCGGCGGAGGAAAUUGCCCAGACGAGCCUUCCGAGAAAAGCUUCUAAGGUUCACUGCUGUGAGACCGUACCGCAAACCGACACAGGUAGUCAGGUCGAGAAGACCAAGGCGAACGAGUGAGUGCUCCUCAAGGAACUCGGCAAAAAAGCGGCCGUACGUUAGCAAUAAGGCCCGCCCUGUCAGUGCAAAGCACUGACCGCAGAAUAUCGCAGACUUGACGCAGACAAGGGUCGCAGCGAAAGAAUCCCUGGCGACUGUUUAUCAAAAACACAGCUCCCUGCGAACUCGUAAGAGGAUGUAUAGGGGGUGACGCCUGACCAAUGCCAGAAGGUCAAACACGGUUGGUUCUCCGUCUUCGGACGGUUGGCUGUACUGUGUAAGCCCUGGUGAAUGUCGGCGAUAACUAUGAAUGAUAGCGAAAUUCCUUGUCUGGUAACAGUUCAGACGCGCACGAAUGGCGUAACGACUGGGGAACUGUCUCGAGGAGUAGCUCGGUGAAAAUACAGUGGGGGUGAAGAUGCCCUCUACCUGCAGCUAGACGAAAAGACCCCAGGAGCUUUACUGCAACUUGGUAUUGAGCGUACGGUCUUACUGCGUAGCAUAGGUGGGAGACUUUGAAGUGCCGUUCUCGGAUGGCAUGGAGUCGUCAGUGAAAUACCACUCUGCACGAUUGUACGAUCUAACCUGACCGGCAAAAACGGUCGGAAACAGUAUCUGGUGGGCAGUUUGUUUGGGGCGAAUUCCUCCUAAAGAGUAACGGAGGAGUCUAUUAAGGUCAGCUAGGCGCGAAUGGAAACCGUGCCGAUAGUGUAAUGGCACAAGCUGGCUUGACUGCAAGGCGUACAUGCCGCGCAGGCGCGAAAGCGGAGCAUAGUGAACCGAGGGUACGUGUUAGACGCGGCCCGAGAUUAACGGAUAAAAGCUACCCUGGGGAUAACAGGCUGGUACCGCCCAAGAGUUCAUAUCGACGGCGGUGUUCGGCACCUCGAUGUCGGCUCAUCUUAUCCUGGGGCUGGAGAAGGUCCCAAGGGUUUGGCUGUUCGCCAAUUAAAAAGAUACGCGAGCUGGGUUCAAACCGUUCGUGAGACAGGUUGGUCUCCUAUCUGCUGCAGGCGUUGAUACUUGAGAAGAUUUGCUCCCAGUACGAGAGGACCGGAGUGAACCGACCGCUGGUCUAUCUGCUGUCCCGCCCGGGGCACCGCAGAGUAGCUAUGUCGGGAAUGGAUAACCUCUGAAAGCAUCUAAGAGGGAAGCCAACUUCAAGAUAAGGUAUCGUUAUAGAUCCGUGGGAGAUGACCACGUUGAUAGGCUCUAGGUGUACGCACAGUAAUGUGUUCAGCCGAGGAGUACUAAUCCAUCG
rnacentral:rRNA from 2 species